rnacentral:rRNA from 1 species
GACAGCAGCAGCCGCGGUAAUACGGAGGAUCCAAGCGUUAUCCGGAAUCAUUGGGUUUAAAGGGUCCGUAGGCGGACUUAUAAGUCAGUGGUGAAAGCCUGUCGCUUAACGAUAGAACUGCCAUUGAUACUGUAAGUCUUGAGUAUAUUUGAGGUAGCUGGAAUAAGUAGUGUAGCGGUGAAAUGCAUAGAUAUUACUUAGAACACCAAUUGCGAAGGCAGGUUACCAAGAUAUAACUGACGCUGAGGGACGAAAGCGUGGGUAGCGAACAGGAUUAGAUACCCCUGUAGUCCCUGUCUCUUAUAC